GCCAGGUGUGGUGGCGCAUGCCUGUAAUCCCAGCUACUUAGGAGGCUGAGGCAGGAGAAUCACUUGAACCCAGGAGGCGGAGGCUGCAGUGAGCCAAGAUCAUGCCACUGCACUCCAGCCUGGGCAAUACAGUGAGACUCUGUCUCAA
rnacentral:SRP_RNA from 1 species